rnacentral:rRNA from 1 species
UGGGGGAAUUUUGGACAAUGGGCGAAAGCCUGAUCCAGCAAUGCCGCGUGUGUGAAGAAGGCCUUCGGGUUGUAAAGCACUUUUGUCCGGAAAGAAAUCCUUGGCUCUAAUACAGUCGGGGGAUGACGGUCCGGGAAGAAUAAGCACCGGCUAACUACGUGCCAGCAGCCGCGGUAAUACGUAGGGUGCAAGCGUUAAUCGGAAUUACUGGGCGUAAAGCGUGCGCAGGCGGUUUGCUAAGACCGAUGUGAAAUCCCCGGGGCUCAACCUGGGAACUGCAUUGGUGACUGGCAGGCUAGAGUAUGGCAGAGGGGGGUAGAAUUCCACGUGUAGCAGUCGAAAUGCGUAGAGAUGUGGAGGAAUACCGAUGGCGAAGGCAGCCCCCUGGGCCAAAUACUGACGCUCAUGCACGAAAAGCGUGGGGGAGCAAACAGGUUAGAUACCCUGGGUAGUCCACGCCCUAAACGAUGUCAACUAGUUGUUGGGGAUUCAUUUCCUUAGUAAC